rnacentral:rRNA from 1 species
UACAGAGGUCUCAAGCGUUGUUCGGAAUCACUGGGCGUAAAGGGUGCGUAGGCCGCACGGUAAGUCAGAGGUGAAAUCCCGGAGCUCAACUUCGGAAUUGCCCCCGAUACUGCCGUGCUUGAGGACUGGAGAGGAGUCUGGAAUUCACAGUGGAGCAGUGAAAUGCGUAGAUAUCGAGAGGAACACCAGUGGCGAAGGCGGCUCACUGGGCACCACCUGACGCUGAGGCGCGAAAGCGUGGGGAGCGAACCGG